rnacentral:rRNA from 1 species
AAUUUAAGCAAAGGGACACUUCAAAAGGGUGUGACCCGGGCGUUGGUUGACCCGGGCGUAAGGGACCGAAAUUAGAGUAGGGAAGCACACUUAGCUGAAGGCGAGAAAAGCUUUGCGUAUAGAAGCAGAUGCCCGUACCGCAAACCGACACAGGUGGACAGGAAGAGAAUUCUAAGGCCAGCGGGAGAAGGGUAGUUAAGGAACUCGGCAAAUUGACUCCGUAACUUCGGAAUAAGGAGUGCUCGAAAGAGCCGCAGAGAAUAGGCCCAGGCGACUGUUUAGCAAAAACACAGGUCUCUGCCAAAUCGAAAGAUGAAGUAUAGGGGCUGACACCUGCCCGGUGCCGGAAGGUUAAGAGGAGGAGUGAGAGCUCCGAAUUGAAGCCCCGGUAAACGGCGGCCGUAACAAUAACGGUCCUAAGGUAGCGAAAUUCCUUGUCGGGUAAGUUCCGACCCGCACGAAUGGUGUAACGAUCUGGGCACUGUCUCAACUACCCACCCGGCGAAAUUGUAGUACCGGUGAAGAUGCCGGUUACCUGCGGCAAGACGGAAAGACCCCAUGGAGCUUUACUGUAGCCUGAUAUUGGGUUUCGGAAAUCUAUGUACAGGAUAGGCGGGAGACUGGGAAACAUGAGCGUCAGCUUGUGUGGAGUCGAUGUUGGGAUACCGCCCUUAGGUUUCUGGAAUUCUCACCUGCGGCCGUGAAUCCGGUCGGGGGACAUUGUCAGGUGGGCAGUUUGACUGGGGCGGUCGCCUCCGAAAAGGUAACGGAGGCGCUCAAAGGUUAGCUCAGCACGGACGGAAACCGUGCCUCUGAGUGUAAACGCAAAAGCUAGCCUAACUGCGAGGGUGACGGCCCGAGCAGUAACGAAAGUUGGAGUUAGUGAUCCGGCGGUAUGUGAAUGGAAAUGCCGUCGCUCAACGGAUAAAAGCUACCCUGGGGAUAACAGGCUGAUCUCCCCCAAGAGUCCACAUCGACGGGGAGGUUUGGCACCUCGAUGUCGGCUCAUCACAUCCUGGGGCUGUAUUCGGUCCCAAGGGUUCGGCUGUUCGCCGAUUAAAGUGGUACGCGAGCUGGGUUCAGAACGUCGCGAGACAGUUCGGUCCCUAUCUGUCGUGGGCGCAGGAUAUUUGAGGAGCUCUGUCCUUAGUACGAGAGGACCGGGAUGGACGUACCUCUGGUGCACCAGUUGUCAUGCCAAUGGCACGGCUGGGCAGCUAUGUACGGAACGGAUAAACGCUGAAAGCAUCUAAGCGUGAAGCCGACUCCAAGAUUAGAUAUCCCAUCGUAUAACGAGUAAGACCCCUUGAAGACUACGAGGUUGAUAGGCUGCGUGUGUAAGUGCCGUGAGGCAUUCAGCUUGGCAGUACUAAUAGGUCGAGGGCUUGACU